GACGAAGCACAUCUAGUUGAAGAAUGGUAAGAAUUUUAUUUUAAUAUACGAUACUACUGAGUUUUAAAUUAUAAUAUGGUUGAGGUGCAAAACAUGUAACAUUCAGACUGAGCCUGAACUAUUAUGAUUAUUUAGCAAGUUUCAAAUUUCACUUUUCCUAUAGUUUUAUUGGUCGAGAUUACGGUAAGUCAAGUGAGAGUCAAGAAAUUAAGCUGUCUCCCUCGGAGUUCCCUGCGAGCAGAGGUCCCUAGAGCACCGGAGCCAGCAGGGAACCCUUGGAGAGACUCCACAGAUGCUCGGCAGGGAGAUAACACAUUAUCCAGGGCAAUCUUGUUCCCCAAGCCUGCGAUCCACGGGAAGGAAUGCGAGGCUCUGGGAUAAUCUGUUUCAGGGAGGAAUCUGAUUGGCUGUUGAUAUAGAAUGCGCAGUUCAGUCUUAGCCAGGAUUCCUGCCUUCCGGCAAUGGAUUUUCCCAGAGCCGCACAUUCCUUCGUGAAGAUUGCAGGCUCGGGAAACGAGAUUGUGUCUAGGGGUAAAUAACAAAUAAUCACACAUGUGCAUGUCAUUAUGUUAUUUACAUUGUUUUCUGGUUGAGAACUGUGAGUUGGUAUGAUAUUGACUGGUCUCCUCAUGAGACUUCCUGUUAUGUGCACCCUCAACCACCAUUGGAAAACAUUGGUGGUUGAGGGUCCACAAAACAGGAUGUCUCCUGAGGAAACCAAUUGACUAAUAAGUAAUAAUUAUACCAUCAAUAUAUUUAUCAACCAAUUAUUAUUACUCUGUUUAAUGAUCUCUAAUGCCAUGAUGAUCAUAAUUAUUUGAGUAAAAUAUUUUGUGUUAAUCCUUUAAGUGGUCUAAUAAUGUAAGACAGUUUUACUCAUCAAGUAAUGAGUGCUGGCUUACUCAAUGGGUAAAAGAGUAGGAAGCAUGAUGAUGGUGCAUUGCAGCUGGACUUGUUAAUCAUUAACAUAACUUAUAUUUUUCUUGUUUAGGAAAAGUUUUAGACCUUGUCAUGGGAAAAUUGGUAUGCUGACAAGUAUUUUUCCCAAGAUCACAUUUUUGGCAAUGACAGCACUGCCACAUUGCAGAUGAAAAAGGAUAUUACAACCAGUCUCGGAUUGAUCAAUCCAAAACAUAUUGAAAUAAGCCCUGAUCGUCCCAAUAUCUUCUUCAGCUCUUUGCCAGGACCUAAUAGAGGGGAUGAUAAGCUUCAAGUGGACCCUUCAACCUAUAUUAACUCCUCCUGAUUGCAGAAUUAAAAGUGAAACAGUUCAAUUUCCCUCUGACAUUAGUUUAUGGCAACUUGCAAGUUAUUGGAGAAUGUUUUUUGUUUGCAAGCAAUAUGAUGGGGCCUUUGCAAUAUGAACCAGUACAAUCUAGCAAACAUUCAGUUAACAGACUAUUCACACAGUUUCAUGCGCAAUAUUCAGAACAUGAACAAGAA